AUCUCUUUCAGUCACCAAGAUGUGGUGUAUGAUCACAGAACUUUUCUCUGAAGGCAAAUAUUCUUUCAAAAGAAUCAGUUGAACUGAAGUAUCGCCAUAAGUGUGGUCACCGAUUUCUUGAUGAGUACAUUUUAAUGAAAUAAGGUGACCAUGGAAAAUGUAUCAGCUGUGACAUCCUUCAUUUUGACAGCAUACACUGAACUGGAAGAUCACAGAUAUUUAUACUUCAUAUGUUUCCUUCUUUUGUACAUUGUGAUAUUAUUGGUCAAUUUAGUUCUUAUUGUA